AGAAAUUGUAUAAUAUAAAAUUCCGAGUAGUAUUAGUUAAGGUCUUGAAACUCAAAAAAUUUGGCGGUAUUUUAGUCUAUUUAGAGGAACCUGUAGUAUAAUCGAUAAUCCACGAUGGACCUCACUUAAUUUUGUUUUUCAGUUUGUAUACCGCUGUUAUUUGAAAAUUUUAUAAGAAUAUUAAUUUUCCUAAUUUUGAAUUAAAAAGUAAAUCAGGUCAAGGUGCAGCUUAUAGUUAAGUAUUUAUGGGUUACAAUAAAUUUAUUUAUAUGGAUUAGGGUAUGAAAUUAUCUUAUAAAAGCGGAUUUAAUAGUAAAUUUUUAUAGAUAAAAAGAUUGAUU
rnacentral:rRNA from 1 species